rnacentral:rRNA from 1 species
UACGGAGGGUGCAAACGUUGCUCGGAAUCAUUGGGCGUAAAGCGCACGUAGGUGGUCUACUAAGUCGGGUGUGAAAGCCCUGGGCUCAACCCAGGAAGUGCACUCGAAACUGGCAGGCUUGAGUAUGGAAGAGGGUCGCGGAAUUCCCGGUGUAGAGGUGAAAUUCGUAGAUAUCGGGAGGAACACCAGUGGCGAAGGCGGCGACCUGGGCCAAUACUGACACUGAGGUGCGAAAGCGUGGGGAGCAAACAGG